AAGCAUGUUGGGCUCUCCAGGAGGGAGAAGAGGCACCUUUGCUGUGGGUUGAGGACUCCUAGAACCAACCUGAGACUCCGCGGCCAUAUACACCUUACGACGUGUGUGUGUGUGUGGCGGGGGAUGGGAGGGGAGGAAUCCUGUAGAACCCAGAUCCCAUCAUUCCAGCAACUGCCAGAGCGUUCGAGAAUGUCAUGUCUGUACCUGUCUUCUCUCAUCUUUUGUGCCAACUGUUUUAUCAAACUUCUACCCCACUUUAGGUCUUCCAGUAGAUACCUGAAACCCUGAACUACAAUAUAUGUGAAAUACAGUGAAUGGCAGAAAUACUUUGAUAAAAGAUGUAAAUGCCUACGGACUGCAGAAGACAACAUCAACAAAGCACACUUCACAAAAAGUACAACACAAAUAUACUGCCCAGGUUCUAAAACAUGUAUAAGAGUUAACAAAAUCAGCUGAGGUUGAGCAGAAAUUGUAUAGGAAAAAAUAGGAAAAAC
rnacentral:lncRNA from 1 species